rnacentral:tRNA from 1 species
UGCAUCGGCCGGGAAUCGAACCUGGGCCGCCCGCGUGGCAUGCGAGCAUUCUACCACUGAACCACCGAUGG